UUCCAAGGGAACCAGGCCUCAGCAUCAGGCCUGUUCUGCCCUGGCCUCGGAUUGUAGCACUACGCCAGCCUGGGACAUCAUCGGCAUCGAUUCUACUCCAUCCUAUCAGUCACAAGGGAGCCACAGGCCAGCCCUGGGUUCCCAGGGAUGGAGAGACUCUGCUUCUGCAUGCGGGAAUGACACAGUCACACUGCAGAAGAACACGAGUGUAGAAGGCAGCAUCAUGGCCAUUUUUGGUAAACACAACCUGCUGCUCACCCGCCUUGCCCAAGCCUACCUCUUCCAGAAACUUCUGUGUCCCAAUUAUGGUUCACCUUGAUGUCCUAAAGUGCGUUUCUCUUCUACAACUCUCUUUUUGGGGAUGUCGCCAAUAAUCUAUAUUUCAACAAGAUGGAUAAAGCUGUGAAAAGGAUCGGAUUCUGCCCAGGACUUCAAGUAUGUGACCUCAGCAGAACUGACCAAUACAUUACUGGAGCAGAAUAAUCAGUCUUGAAAUAAACCCAUGGAUAAAGGAUGGA
rnacentral:lncRNA from 10 species